rfam:Camelus ferus unplaced genomic scaffold scaffold2748, whole genome shotgun sequence.
GAGGGUAUAGUUCAGCAGUAGAGUGCAUGCCUAACAUGCACAAGGUCCUGGGUUCAAUCCCCAGUAUCUCCA